rnacentral:rRNA from 1 species
GGGGGAUAUUGCACAAUGGGGGAAACCCUGAUGCAGCGACGCCGCGUGGAGGAAGAAGGUUUUCGGAUUGUAAACUCCUGUCGUUAGGGACGAUAAUGACGGUACCUAACAAGAAAGCACCGGCUAACUACGUGCCAGCAGCCGCGGUAAAACGUAGGGUGCAAGCGUUGUCCGGAAUUACUGGGUGUAAAGGGAGCGCAGGCGGGAAGACAAGUUGGAAGUGAAAACCAUGGGCUCAACCCAUGAAUUGCUUUCAAAACUGUUUUUCUUGAGUAGUGCAGAGGUAGAUGGAAUUCCCGGUGUAGCGGUGGAAUGCGUAGAUAUCGGGAGGAACACCAGUGGCGAAGGCGGCCUACUGGGCACCAACUGACGCUGAGGCUCGAAAGUGUGGGUAGCAAACAGGAUUAGAUACCCUGGUAGUCCACACCGUAAACGAUGAUUACUAGGUGUUGGAGGAUUGACCCCUUCAGUGCCGCAGUUAACACAAUAAGUAAUCCACCUGGGGAGUACGACCGCAAGGUUGAAACUCAAAGGAAUUGACGGGGGCCCGCACAAGCAGUGGAGUAUGUGGUUUAAUUCGACGCAACGCGAAGAACCUUACCAAGUCUUGACAUCCCUUGACAGGCAUAGAAAUAUGUUUUCUCUUCGGAGCAAGGAGACAGGUGGUGCAUGGUUGUCGUCAGCUCGUGUCGUGAGAUGUUGGGUUAAGUCCCGCAACGAGCGCAACCCUUAUGGUCAGUUACUACGUAAGAGGACUCUGGCCAGACUGCCGUUGACAAAACGGAGGAAGGUGGGGAUGACGUCAAAUCAUCAUGCCCUUUAUGACUUGGGCUACACACGUACUACAAUGGCGUUAAACAAAGAGAAGCAAGACCGCGAGGUGGAGCAAAACUCAGAAACAACGUCCCAGUUCGGACUGCAGGCUGCAACUCGCCUGCACGAAGUCGGAAUUGCUAGUAAUCGUGGAUCAGCAUGCCACGGUGAAUACGUUCCCG